rnacentral:rRNA from 1 species
CAGUCGCCACGGGAAUACGUAGGUGGCAAGCGUUGUCCGGAAUUAUUGGGCGUAAAGGGCUCGCAGGCGGUUUCUUAAGUCUGAUGUAAAAGCCCCCGGCUCAACCGGGGAGGGUCAUUGGAAACUGGGAAACUUGAGUGCAGAAGAGGAGAGUGGAAUUCCACGUGUAGCGGUGAAAUGCGUAGAGAUGUGGAGGAACACCAGUGGCGAAGGCGACUCUCUGGUCUGUAACUGACGCUGAGGAGCGAAAGCGUGGGGAGCGAACAGGAUUAGAUACCCCGGUAGUCCCUGUCUCUUAUAC